rnacentral:rRNA from 1 species
AUUGAACGCUGGCGGCAGGCCUAACACAUGCAAGUCGAACGGUAACAGGAAACAGCUUGCUGUUUCGCUGACGAGUGGCGGACGGGUGAGUAAUGUCUGGGAAACUGCCUGAUGGAGGGGGAUAACUACUGGAAACGGUAGCUAAUACCGCAUAACGUCGCAAGACCAAAGAGGGGGACCUUCGGGCCUCUUGCCAUCGGAUGUGCCCAGAUGGGAUUAGCUAGUAGGUGGGGUAACGGCUCACCUAGGCGACGAUCCCUAGCUGGUCUGAGAGGAUGACCAGCCACACUGGAACUGAGACACGGUCCAGACUCCUACGGGAGGCAGCAGUGGGGAAUAUUGCACAAUGGGCGCAAGCCUGAUGCAGCCAUGCCGCGUGUAUGAAGAAGGCCUUCGGGUUGUAAAGUACUUUCAGCGGGGAUGAAGGGAGUAAAGUUAAUACCUUUGCUCAUUGACGUUACCCGCAGAAGAAACACCGGCUAACUCCGU